rnacentral:snRNA from 1 species
AUCGCUUCUCGGCUUUUGGCUCAGAUCAAGGUGUAGUAUCUGUUCUUAUCAGUUUAAUAUCUGAUACGUCCCCCAUCGGGGACUACAUAUUAAAUGGAUUUUUCGAACAGGGAUCGGAAAUGGGGCUUGCUCCGUCCGCUCCACGCAUCGACCCGGUAUUGCAGUACCUCCGGGAACGGUGCAACACUU